UGUAUAUAUCAGAAGAGUAACCCAGUAACAGUACACAAACACUGGCCAUCACGCUGUGCGGGCUGAGUCCUUAGCAUCAACACUAUGUGCCAGGGAGAAGCAAUGGCAGAAGGAGCCUAAAGGCAGACAGUUCUCUCUCUGCUUGGCUUUGGAAUCAGGACAAACCCUCACACUCACUGCCUCUGGACUGGAAAGAGUUUAGAAAGACUGAAGUCAUGAAGGGCAGGAAAGAAUGUGGCAAGUAGAAAAGGUUGCCAAAACAUCAUGCUGUCUGCUUGAAAACGGAGAAGAUAAGUCUUGGAAUAACAAAACAGGCAGUGUGAUUUCACCACUCAUGAAGGCAGAGAUGAGGAGAGUGGGGAAUAAGAUAUACAGUGCGUGAAACUGUGUAUCCCUCAAAGGAAAGACAUUUUCAAACAUGUCUUUUCAGGACGCCCAUGUAGAUGAGUGUCAGGAACUAAGGCCCCACCCAGGUGGAGGGUGGAAUGAUCAUGUUGACCCUUGUGACUUCACUCAACUAAAGCUUGAACUCUAUCAACCUUGAGCCCGAUUCUAUGCUGAAUUCUCCUCUGUUCAAGCCCCUUCAUGAAUAUGAAGAAGAGAGAAGCUUAAUUGGGUGGUUCCAGUUUGAGACCUCUCAUGAGUGGUAGUCAAGAUGUCAUCCUGGGAUACAGUCAACUGAAAGCUUGACUGGGGCUGGAAGAGCCUCUUCCAAGACGGCUCUCUCACAUGGAUGUUGGCAGGAGGCCUUCGUUCCUCACCACAUGAGCCUCUCCGUUAGGGCUUCUUGAGUGUCCCACACUGUCAGGCAGUUUCCCCCACAGAGCCUGAUUCAAGAGAGCAAAGAGGAAAGUUCAAUGUCUUUCAUGACCUAGCCUCAGAAGUCACUGCCUGUCACUUCUACAAUGUCCAGUCCGUUAAUCUGGUUUAGCCUUCUUCACUACGGAAGGGUACAACGCAGAUCAUGAAUAUUAGGAGGGAGGAAUAUUUGGGUCCAUCUUUGAGGCUGGCUAUCACAGUCAUGAAAUAACGAGGACAAAGGCACAUUUUAAAUCAACAAAUGCAUAUUAAUAGAGAUAAAAAGAACAUAUCAAUUCUGAAAUGAGAAGAGUAGUAUAAUCAGAAUCAGAAAUAAUUCAUCAUGCAGGGUUUUCUGAAAGAGGUAAGGAGUUCUUAGGUGGUUUUUGAAAAACUGAUUUUUGAUGGACAGAGAACAUUUAAAGUGAGUGCAUAUUCCAGCACUCACUUUAAAUGCAUGUGCUUAUUUUCGUAGGCACCUAAAGGGUGAGAAUUAUCCCUUGAGAGAGUCUGAUCACCUAGCAUUAAAUUAGAGUUUACAGCAACAUUCUAACAGUGGGUAAAACACAUCUCAAAGUAAUCUUCGGCUAUUAAGUUAGGAAUCUGGGGCAUUGCUUCCAUAAACACCCAAAUGUUUCUUUAAAAUUAAAGUUUUCUUUACAUAGAUGUAAAAAAAAAAAACACUGUUAACAAGUAAAUUUAAGGAAAUGUGCUUAGUUCAAUGCAGGUUUUUCUUUUGCAGAUGUAAAAGUUUAUGUUAACUAUUAAUACCACACACACAAAAAAAUACAUUUUUUAAAAGUAUGUAAAACAGCUUCUUAUUAUAUCAUGGAAACUAAAAUUUAUGAAUGAGCUUGAGUUAAAAAUCAGGGUUAUUAAGAGACUAUCAAUGCUAAUAAUUUAAAUUACUAAUUUGCCAUAUGCUGGUUAAAUCACUCUGCAACCUCUCAGUUAUAAUUUGGCAUCUCUUCUCUUUGCUACUCAGUAAACACAAAUACUCUGUCCGCUUGGUUGGUAGUUUUAGUUUUCAUUAUAAGUUAAUCACCGGACUUUCUUUAGAAAUCAGUUUCCAGUAAGUUUGUUGUGUGUCAGUUCACAAAACUUAAUUCAUCACCCCAAAGCAUACUGACAAAAACUUCUAACAAUCUGGAAGGCUGGAGAACCAAUCUCUGUAAUGCAGUCUCCACUUUAAAGCUUCCUCCUUGCCCAAAUCUCUUUCUGGUUAACCCACAGGGAUCUCAAGAGAAAAAUAACAUAGGUCCCCUCCCGAUUGUUUUUAGUAAUUAUCUAGUAAGAAUUAAAAUUGCAGAAGGAAGAAAAACAGAAGCUUCUAUGUGAGAUGUGAGAGAAGACAAAAUCCUUUACUAUUCCACAGAAAAGACUCACUGUCAUAUUUUCUUUUAAAAAUCAUUAACAUAUCUAAAUGUUUAUAUUUUGCAUGGCAUAUCAAGAAGAAUAUGAUGAAGAAUUUUCAGACACAGUUUCAAGUCCUUGGUCUGAUACUGUUUAGUAUGCGGCAUUAGAACAUCACCUUUAUUUUUUCCAUUUCAGUUUCUUCAACUCUAAGAACUAAUGCUUUACAUCUCUAAAAUUCCUUUGAGUGAGAAACUCCUUUCAUUUUUCUCCCAACUGCAGAUCCUUCAGGAAAAUAGGAUUGUGUCAAUAGUUGCAGUAGAAGAAAAACAGCCAAAACAACAAGAAGAUAUUAUUUCCAAAAGAAAAAAAAAAUCCAAACCUCAGCUAUUAUUACAGAUUUAAUUAGUGUGCUUUAAAACGUUCCAUAAUUAUUAUUAGCCUCCCUAAUUUAUUCCAUCCACAUGGGGGUUACAGAAAAGAAGAGAAAAAAAUUGAGGCCAGAAUUCCACUAGCUGAGACAUUAUAGGGCAGGAGUCCAAAAUGUGGCUAGAUUGUGAGAGACACUUAGCGGAAAGUCGGCCAACUAGUCUUGGUUUUUAAAGUACACCUUGCUCAUUUCUAUUAACAGAUUCAAAACCCCGGAGUGGGUCUCAGACAUUUGCACAGAAAAAAAAUAAGGCUCCUACAAAAUCAGGGUCACCCUAACCCUUU